AGAGUUUGAUCCUGGCUCAGGACGAACGUUGGCGGCGUGCCUUACACAUGCAAGUCGUACGCGAAAGGGGAAACCAGCUUGCUGGGGACCCCCGGUAGAGUGGCGAGCGGGAGCGUAACACGUGAGGAACCUGCCUCGGAGUGGGGAAUAACCCAGAGAAAUCUGGGCUAACUCCGCAUGAUGCAGCGGCCCCGCAUGGGGACAGUUGUUAAAGACCGCCUCUGCUUGCAAGCGGUCGCUUCGAGAUGGCCUCGCGGCCUAUCAGCUAGUUGGCGGGGUAAUGGCCCACCAAGGCGACGACGGGUAGCCGGCCUGAGAGGGUGUCCGGCCUCAUUGGGACUGAGACACGGCCCAGACUCCUACGGGAGGCAGCAGUGAGGAAUCUUGCGCAAUGGGCGAAAGCCUGACGCAGCGACGCCGCGUGAGGGAUGAAGGCCUUCGGGUUGUAAACCUCUGUCAGGGGGGAAGAACCCGGAGUCGGUGAAUAACCGGCUCCGCUGACGGUACCCCCAGAGGAAGCACCGGCUAACUCCGUGCCAGCAGCCGCGGUAAGACGGAGGGUGCAAACGUUGUUCGGAAUCACUGGGCGUAAAGGGCGCGUAGGCGGACUUGUAAGUCGGGAGUGAAAACUCGGGGCUCAACCCCGAGCCUGCUUCUGAAACUGCGAGUCUUGAGGACCGGAGAGGAAAGUGGAAUUCCUAGUGUAGCGGUGGAAUGCGUAGAUAUUAGGAAGAACACCAGUGGCGAAAGCGACUUUCUGGACGGUUCCUGACGCUGAGGCGCGAAAGCUAGGGGAGCAAACAGGAUUAGAUACCCUGGUAGUCCUAGCCGUAAACGAUGAGUGCUAGUGGUGGUAGUUUCAACACUUUCACCGCCGCAGCCAACGCAUUAAGCACUCCGCCUGGGGAGUACGGCCGCAAGUUGAAACUCAAAUGAAUUGACGG
rnacentral:rRNA from 1 species